rnacentral:rRNA from 1 species
AUUGAACGCUGGCGGCAUGCCUUACACAUGCAAGUCGAACGGUAACAGGUCUUCGGAUGCUGACGAGUGGCGAACGGGUGAGUAAUACAUCGGAAUGUGCCCGAUCGUGGGGGAUAACGGAGCGAAAGCUUUGCUAAUACCGCAUACGACCUACGGAUGAAAGCAGGGGACCGCAAGGCCUUGCGCGGACGGAGCGGCCGAUGGCAGAUUAGGUAGUUGGUGGGAUAAAAGCUUACCAAGCCGACGAUCUGUAGCUGGUCUGAGAGGACGACCAGCCACACUGGGACUGAGACACGGCCCAGACUCCUACGGGAGGCAGCAGUGGGGAAUUUUGGACAAUGGGCGAAAGCCUGAUCCAGCCAUGCCGCGUGCAGGAUGAAGGCCUUCGGGUUGUAAACUGCUUUUGUACGGAACGAAAAGACUCCUUCUAAUAAAGGGGGUCCAUGACGGUACCGUAAGAAUAAGCACCGGCUAACUACGUGCCAGCCGCCGCCGUAAGAC